rnacentral:rRNA from 1 species
AGUGAACGCUGGCGGUAGGCCUAACACAUGCAAGUCGAACGGCAGCACAGUAAGAGCUUGCUCUUACGGGUGGCGAGUGGCGGACGGGUGAGGAAUACAUCGGAAUCUACUUUUUCGUGGGGGAUAACGUAGGGAAACUUACGCUAAUACCGCAUACGACCUACGGGUGAAAGCAGGGGAUCUUCGGACCUUGCGCGAUUGGAUGAGCCGGCGUCGGAUCAGCUAGUUGGCGAGGUAAAGGCCCACCAAGGCGACGACGGGUAGCCGGCCUGAGAGGGUGACCGGCCACACUGGGCCUGAGACACGGCCCAGACUCCUACGGGAGGCAGCAGUGGGGAAUAUUGCACAAUGGGCGCAAGCCUGAUGCAGCGACGCCGCGUGAGGGAUGACGGCCUUCGGGUUAUAAACCUCUUUCAGUAGGGAAGAAGCGAAAGUGACGGUACCUGCAGAAGAAGCACCGGCUAACUACGUG